UACGUAGGGGGCAAGCGUUGUCCGGAAUCAUUGGGCGUAAAGAGCGUGUAGGCGGCUCGGUAAGUCCGCUGUGAAAGUCCAGGGCUCAACCCUGGAAUGCCGGUGGAAACUGUCGAGCUAGAGUCCGGAAGAGGCGAGUGGAAUUCCUGGUGGUAGCGGUGAAAUGCGCAGAUAUCAGGAGGAACACCAAUGGCGAAGGCAGCUCGCUGGGACGGUACUGACGCUGAGACGCGAAAGCGUGGGGAGCGAACAGG
rnacentral:rRNA from 1 species